CACGUAUGUGUCUUCUGUAGUUAAUGGAUGAACAGAACUCUCGGGAACACUUUUCACACUUUUGCAUCUGCACCUUCAAAGGAGUGAGCAAAGGCCAACCUGGGAGAUCUUGCUGAUCUAGUGCAUGUAAUAAUUGGAUCCACUGUACUGGGCUAUCACCAGGCCUUGAGAAAGAAAGAAAGGGCUCUUUUCCAAUUGCCUGCCUGAUAAAUGCAUCUAGGGAAUCAUUUCCCUUCUCUGUUUUCAUCACAUCUGUGUUGUUUGAGGCCUUGAGUUUUGCAACUGGCAUUUAUGCACACAAAAGCCAGAACUAGUAGCUCACUGAAAGCCACAGUGGAGGGCAGAAAGAGAGAUCGAUAGCGAGGCAGAGAAAAUCUCUGGCGAUCGGAGGGAUUUAGAGUCACCUGGAGAGGAGAUUAGGGAGCGUUUGGAGGGUGAGAAAAUCGGCGAGAAAUCGGGAGAAAGUUGAUCGGCCGAGAACUAGGAAAAGAGAAGGACAAAAAAAAAUAAAAAGAAGAGAGAGUUUAAAGGG
rnacentral:misc_RNA from 1 species